GGGAGUAGCAGCACGUCCACUUUCACUCUCACAAUAACGCCACCCAGGCGCAGCCACGAUUUAAUUAGAAACUUAUUGUCAAAGGAAGUUUGUUUUUUUUAACUAGUCGUGCGCACUAGUUAAUUCACUUCACGUCGUAUGUUUAACUUCUCUUUGCUAGCCGAUUAAUAAUACUUAGUAUGUUUUUGUCAUGAUAUAUGUUUAUACACUGUUGCCCCCUCAUUUAUGCAAUUUUGCAAGGGGGAUGCUGCCGAAAUUUUAUAUAUAGAUGUCAGAAGUGUUGUUUAGUAGCAUUCCGGGGUGUUGGUGGACCCCGAGGUGUUACAGAAGGUGCACUUUGUUGUUGUUAGUCAGGUAAGACAGUGUUGUGUUCAUAUGCUUGUUGAAAACCUGAAAGUCUUUCGAGUUACCUCAUCAUGGAGGAGAAGACAUGCAAUGGUCGUCUUUUGUUUUUCAGUUUUCACUGUUGCACUUUUAUUGCAAGAUCGCGUUGCAGUGAUCAUGUCUUUUUAUUUGUCUUUUUGAUAUAUAUACAGAAAACACUAUAUGGACUCUCGGAGAGGAUUGCUGAUCUGCAUGAAUCUAUCGCACAAAAGAAGGCUGAACUGGGAGUUGUCUAAAUAGGAUGGAGAAUGUGCACUUUGUUGUUGGUAGUCAGGAAAGAUAGUGUUAUGUUCAUAUGCUUGUUGAAAACCUGGAAGUAUUUCGAGUUACCUCAUCAUGGAGGAGAAGACAUGCAAUGAAAACAGUAUAUGAACUCUUGGAGAGGAUUGCUGGUCUGCAUGAAUCUAUCGCACAAAUGAGACUGAACUGGGAGUUGUCUAAAUAGAAUGGAGAAGGUGCACUUUGUUGUUGGUAGUCAGAAAACACUAUAUGGACUCUCGGAGAGGAUUGCUGAUCUGCAGAAAUCUAUCGCACAAAAGAAGGCUGAACUGGGAGUUGUCUAAAUAGGAUGGAUAAGGUGCACUUUGUUGUUGUUAGUCAUGUAAGACAGUGUUGUGUUCAUAUGCUUGUUGAAAACCUGGAAGUCUUUCGAGGUACCUCAUGAUGGAGGAGAAGACAUGCAAUGGUCGUCUUUUGUUUUUCAGUUUUCACUAUUGCACUUUUAUUGCAAGAUCGUGUUGCAGUGAUCAUGUCUUUUUAUUUGUAUUUUCGAUAUAUAUACAAAAACACUAUAUGGACUCAAGGAGAGGAUUGGUGAUCUACCGGAAUCUAUCGCACAAAAGAAGACAGAACUGGAAGUUGUCUAAAUAAGAUGGAGAAGGUGCACUUUGUUGUUGUUAGUCAGAAAACACUAUAUGGACUCUCGGAGAGGAUUGCUGAUCUGCAUGAAUCUAUCGCACAAAAUAAGGCUGAACUAGGAGUUGUCUAAAUAGGAUGGAGAAUGUGCACUUUGUUGUUGGUAGUCAGGAAAGACAGUGUUAUGUUCAUAUGCUUGUUGAAAACCUGGAAGUAUUUCGAGUUACCUCAUCAUGGAGGAGAAGAUAUGCAAUAAAACAGUAUAUGAACUCUCGGAGAGGAUUGCUGAUCUGCAGGAAUCUAUCGCACAAAUGAGGCUGAACUGGGAGUUGUCUAAAUAGAAUGGAGAAGGUACACUUUGUUGUUGGUAGUCAGAAAAUACUAUAUGGACUCUCGAAGAGGAUUGUUGAGCAUGAAUCUAUCGCACAAAAGAAGGCUGAACUGGGAGUUGUCUAAAUAGGAUGGAGAAUGUGCACUUUGUUGUUGGUAGUCAGAUAAGACAGUGUUAUGUUAUAUGCUUGUUGAAAACCUGGAAGUCUUUCGAGUUACCUCAUCAUGCAGGAGAAGACAUGCAAUGGUCGUAUUUUGUUUUCCAGAUUUCACUAUUGCACUUUUAUUUCAAAAUCGCGUUGCAGUGAUCAUGUCUUUUUAUUUGUUUUUUCGGUAUAUAUACAGAAAACACUAUAUGAACUCUCGGAGAGGAUUGCUGAUUUGCAGGAAUCUAUCGCACAAAAGAAGGCUUGUCUAAAUAGGAUGGAGAAGGUGCACUUUGUUGUUGGUAGUCAGGUAAGACAGUGUUUUGUUCAUAUGCUUUUUGAAAACCUGGAAGUGUUUUUUUUCAGAUUUCACUAUUGCACUCGCUGCGCCUUAGCAACCGAUACACCAACUCUUAUGGCUGUCACGAUCUUGUGGAGCGUGACACC